rnacentral:rRNA from 1 species
GGCUUCGGGUAGGCUCUGGGUCACCUCCCACCCGUGUUUAUCGUACCUUGUUGCUUCGGCGGGCCCGCCUCACGGCCGCCGGGGGGCAUCCGCCCCCGGGCCCGCGCCCGCCGAAGACACACAAACGAACUCUUGUCUGAAGAUUGCAGUCUGAGUACUUGACUAAAUCAGUUAAAACUUUCAACAACGGAUCUCUUGGUUCCGGCAUCGAUGAAGAACGCAGCGAAAUGCGAUAAGUAAUGUGAAUUGCAGAAUUCAGUGAAUCAUCGAGUCUUUGAACGCACAUUGCGCCCCCUGGUAUUCCGGGGGGCAUGCCUGUCCGAGCGUCAUUGCUGCCCUCAAGCACGGCUUGUGUGUUGGGCUCUCGCCCCCCGCUUCCGGGGGGCGGGCCCGAAAGGCAGCGGCGGCACCGCGUCCGGUCCUCGAGCGUAUGGGGCUUCGUCACCCGCUCUGUAGGCCCGGCCGGCGCCCGCCGGCGAACACCAUCAAUCUUAACCAGGUUGACCUCGGAUCAGGUAGGGAUACCCGCUGAACUUAAGCAUAUCAAUAAGCGGAGGAA